UACAGAGGGUGCGAGCGUUAAUCGGAAUUACUGGGCGUAAAGCGAGCGUAGUCGGUUAUUUAAGUCGGGUGUGAAAUCCCCGGGCUCAACCUGGGAAUUGCAUUCGAUACUGGAUAGCUAGAGUUCGGCAGAGGGAAGCGGAAUUUCCGGUGUAGCGGUGAAAUGCGUAGAUAUCGGAAGGAACAUCAGUGGCGAAAGCGGCUUCCUGGACCAGAACUGACGAUCAGGCUCGAAAGCGUGGGGAGCAAACAGGGA
rnacentral:rRNA from 1 species